rnacentral:lncRNA from 1 species
GGGCACAAUAACCAAACACCUGGUAUGAAAAUUAGUGAGAAAUUUGUUUUCCUAUGUAUAUAAGAAAAUACAUUAAAAAGACUAAAGAACCAAUUUUCUUCCCAUCAACUAGACGAGAUCUUAGUUUAGGUGAAGCUAGUUUCUUGGCCAUGGAGAGGAUCGUAUCGAUCACAAUGCAACGGAAAGUGGAUUAGUUAAUAAUCAGCACAACUAGAAAUAAUAAGCCGACCAAAUUAACAUAAUGGCUCAGUGCUCGCAUUAUUAGAGUUCAGUGCUCUAAUCAUUAGCCUCACGAGCUAAUUAUACACAUUCGGGGUCAGCUAACUAACAUGCAUGCAUGUAGUUUAUAUCAAUCUCAACUAGCUAGUCACGUCUAAAUUAGUGUACUUUGAGCUCGAUUACCAUAUAUAUAUAUAUAUGGGCAAAAGAUGGAAUACGCCCCCAGUCCCCAUACGCCAAAAUUGAUCCAGCCAUGUGGCUUCAGCAUAUCCACCCUUCGUCAGUAGUAAAAAAUUUCUGUUAAGGACAUAUAUGACAAAUCCCACAAUUACAUCAUGAAAAAUAUUCAAUAUUUCUGGCUUUUUGCGUCCUGUCUCCAACUAAGCUUGCAACAAUUAUAUAUAGAAUCCCAGCUGCAAUGAACUCAAGUACUUUGAGUGAUUCAAUCUCUUUUUGUCUGUUCCUUUCUAACAGCCUCAAUAAUCACUGAAGAAAUGAAGGGAAUAAGUUAUUGGUUUGUUAUAUAGCUCUUCAAGUCAUGAUUGUGUUUUUGCAACAGACUUCUUUCGCCGCAUAGAGACGCCUUCUAACCUUUAAGCCAUGCUCCUCCUCUUAUUUCCUCCAAACUUCCUCCUCGGAGGGGAAUGAUUCUCUUUGGCUAACGGUGUUGGCUUUCGGAGCUCUUCGCCGCGCUUCACGAUUUUGACCGGGCCGAUGAGGAGGAUUUGAGGAACAGGAGCCUUCUGCAAUGGGGAGGCGGAGGCUGUGGUGUUGUUGACUUGUUGGGACGGGCCGGCUUGUGUUGUUGUCGGUCUGGGGACUGGCGGCCGAAGAGAGAGAGAGAGAGAGAGAGAGGCUAGAGAGGAGGUCUGGGUUAGGGGUUAAGUACGUGAGAGAGAGAGAGAGGCAGAGAGGCUGUUAAGAGUCUGAGAGAGAGAGAGAGAGAGGCUGUGGGGUUAAGGGUCUAAGAGAAGAGAGAGAGGGGUUGUGGGGUGAGGAUUUUUUGCGAUCUGACAUAAAUGACCUUAAAAUUUAACUGUAAAAAUGAUAUUUACUGUAAUCGUAGUUAAUUAUUAAUUUUACUUAUUUACCCUUUAGUUUUAAAUUAGAUGGCUGAUAUAAUGCCACGUGGCAAGGCCCUACUUCGUUGUACACUACGCCCGUGUAUUUCAGCGCUUUCCAUAUAUAUGGGCCACUAUCAUAACAUGCAAAUCCGGAUCCCCGUCAUGAUUCAUAUAUAUAUAUAUAUAUACACGAUCUUUAAAUUUGAUAAAUUUUGUAAAAUGAUCUAUGCAUUAGGUUCUACAAACUGAACGGUAAAGAUGUGAAAAUAUGACAAAAAAAUGAGUCAAAUAUGAAACUUCACACUUUAAUUUCAAAACGAAAGUUUACUAUUCUGAAUAGAACCCUGCUCUGUGUGUGUAUAUAUAUAUAUAUAUAUAUUUAUAUAUAUCCAUAGUUAAGUGUUCAUAUGGGGCUCAUUAGAUGUUCG